AAUAUUUCACAAUGGAGGGAACUCUGAUGCAGCGACGCCGCGUGAGUGAUGAAGGCUUUCGAGUCGUAAAACUCUGUCCUUGGGGAGGAUAAUGACGGUACCCAAGGAGGAAGCCACGGCUAACUAAGUUCCAGCAGCCGCGGUAAUAAGUAGGGGGCGGGCGUUGUCUGGAAUUAUUUGGCGUAAAGGGGUUGCAGGCGGCCGAUUAAGUCAGAUGUGAAAACCCAGGGCUUAAUCGUGGAAAGCAUUUGAAACUGAUUGGCUAGAGUUAAGGAGAGGAAAGUGGAAUUCCUAGUGUAGCGGUGAAAUGCGUAGAUAUUAGGAGGAAUACCAGUGGCGAAGGCGACUUUCUGGACUUAUACUGACGCUGAGGAACGAAAGCGUGGGGAGCAAAC
rnacentral:rRNA from 1 species